rnacentral:tRNA from 1 species
GCUUCUAUGGCUCAGUUGGUAGAGCGCGGCACUAGUACCUUCUAGAUCAUGCCGAGGUCCUGAGUUCAAAUCUCAGUGGAAGCA